rnacentral:rRNA from 1 species
UACCAGCACCCCGAGUGGUCGGGACGAUUAUUGGGCCUAAAGCCUCCGUAGCUGGUCCUGCAAGUCCUCCGUUAAAUCCACCCGCUCAACGGUUGGGCCGCGGGGGAUACUACAGGGCUAGGAGGCGGGAGAGGCAAGCGGUACUCGAUGGGUAGGGGUAAAAUCCACUGAUCCAUUGAAGACCACCAGUGGCGAAGGCGGCUUGCCAGAACGCGCUCGACGGUGAGGGAUGAAAGCUGGGGGAGCAAACCGG